GGAAGUAAAAGCCGUAACAAGGUUUCCGUAGGUGAACCUGCGGAAGGAUCAUUAUUGUAUAACCGAGGUGCGAGGGCUGUCGCUGACCCGAAAGGUCGUGCACGCCCGAGUGCCCUCACUCACAUCCAUCUCACCCCUAUGUGCACCACCGCGUGGGUCCCCCUUUGGCUUGUUCGGAGGGGGGCUUACGUUUUCACACAGACUUUGUAUGCAGUGUAGAAUGUAUUUUUUGUUUUUGCGAUCACGCAAUCAAUACAACUUUCAACAACGGAUCUCUUGGCUCUC
rnacentral:misc_RNA from 1 species